rnacentral:rRNA from 1 species
GUAGGUGGCAAGCGUUGUCCGGAAUUAUUGGGCGUAAAGCGCGCGCAGGCGGUCCUUUAAGUCUGAUGUGAAAGCCCACGGCUCAACCGUGGAGGGUCAUCGGAAACUGGGGGACUUGAGUGCAGAAGAGAAGAGUGGAAUUCCACGUGUAGCGGUGAAAUGCGUAGAGAUGCGGAGGAACACCAGUGGCGAAGGCGACUCUUUGGUCUGUAACUGACGCUGAGGCGCGAAAGCGUGGGGAGCAAACAGGAUUAGAUACCCUGGUAGUCCACGCCGUAAACGAUGAGUGCUAAGUGUUAGAGGGUUUCCGCCCUUUAGUGCUGCAGCAAACGCAUUAAGCACUCCGCCCUGGGGGUACGGCCGCAAGGCUG